CACACGACCGUACCGCAAACCGACACUGGUGCGCGAGAUGAGUAUUCUCAGGCGCUUGAGAGAACUCGGGAGAAGGAACUCGGCAAAUUGACACCGUAACUUCGGAAGAAGGUGUGCCUUUAGUAGGUGAAGGGAUUUACUCCUGGAGCCCAAUGAGGUUGCAAAAAAUCGGUGGCUGCGACUGUUUAAUAAAAACACAGCACUCUGCAAACACGAAAGUGGACGUAUAGGGUGUGACGCCUGCCCGGUGCUGGAAGAUUAAGUGAUGGGGUGCAAGCUCUUGAUCGAAGUCCCAGUAAACGGCGGCCGUAACCAUAACGGUCCUAGGUAGCGAAAUUCCUUGUCGGGUAAGUUCCGACCUGCACGAAUGGCGUAACGAUGGCCACACUGUCUCCUCCCGAGACUCAGCGAAGUUGAAAUGUUUGUGAUGAUGCAAUCUCCCCGCGGAAAGACGGAAAGACCCCAUGAACCUUUACUGUAGCUUUGUAUUGGACUUUGAACGAAUCUGUGUAGGAUAGGUGGGAGGCUUUGAAGCAGGGUCGCUAGAUCUUGUGGAGCCAACGUUGAAAUACCACCCUGGUGCGUUUGAGGUUCUAACCUAGGCCCGUGAUCCGGGUCGGGGACAGUGCAUGGUAGGCAGUUUGACUGGGACGGUCUCCUCCCAAAGCGUAACGGAGGAGUUCGAAGGUACGCUAGUUACGGUCGGACAUCGUGACGAUAGUGCAAUGGCAUAAGCGUGCUUAACUGCGAGACUGACAAGUCGAGCAGAUGCGAAAGCAGGACAUAGUGAUCCGGUGGUUCUGUAUGGAAGGGCCAUCGCUCAACGGAUAAAAGGUACUCUGGGGAUAACAGGCUGAUACCGCCCAAGAGUUCAUAUCGACGGCGGUGUUUGGCACCUCGAUGUCGGCUCAUCUCAUCCUGGGGCUGUAGCCGGUCCCAAGGGUAUGGCUGUUCGCCAUUUAAAGAGGUACGUGAGCUGGGUUUAAAACGUCGUGAGACAGUUUGGUCCCUAUCUUCCGUGGGCGCUGCAGAUUUGAGGAAGCCUGCUCCUAGUACGAGAGGACCGGAGUGGACGCACCUCUGGUGUACCUGUUGUCACGCCAGUGGCAUUGCAGGGUAGCUAAGUGCGGAAGAGAUAACCGCUGAAAGCAUCUAAGCGGGAAACUCGUUUCAAGAUGAGAUCUGCCGGGGCCUUGAGCCCCCUGAAGAGUCGUUCUAGACCAGGACGUUGAUAGGUCAGGUGUGGAAGCGCAGUAAUGCGUUAAGCUAACUGAUACUAAUUGCUCGUGCGGCUUGACC
rnacentral:rRNA from 1 species